GAGACAGCAGCAGCCGCGGGAAUACGAAGGGUGCAAGCGUUACUCGGAAUUACUGGGCGUAAAGCGUGCGUAGGUGGUGGUUUAAGUCCGUUGUGAAAGCCCUGGGCUCAACCUGGGAAUUGCAGUGGAUACUGGGUCACUAGAGUGUGGUAGAGGAUAGUGGAAUUUCCGGUGUAGCAGUGAAAUGCGUAGAGAUCGGAAGGAACAUCUGUGGCGAAGGCGACUAUCUGGGCCAACACUGACACUGAGGCACGAAAGCGUGGGGAGCAAACAGGAUUAGAUACCCCUGUAGUCCCUGUCUCUUAUAC
rnacentral:rRNA from 1 species